GUCAAAUCAAAAUGACUUUUUUAUUUUUCCUCUCCCUCCUGCAUCGAAUCCCACAGGAAACUCUCUCUCUCUCUCUAUUGCUCGAUCGAUCGAUGUCCACAUUUCUUCUAACAUUCCCCGAUUUUCAUGCUUCACUAGCGAUUAGCGAAUACCGAUAUUUUCAAUACCUAAUCUGUUUGUCUUUUUGCAUUUAUUAACUCUUCAAUAUCUCGGAAAAUCUUUCCAAUCCCAGGAAUUGAAUUUCCCAAAACUGUUAUCUAUUUCAUCGCCAAUUUGCUCUUUUUGUCUCUUCUCAUCCUCUUUCAUCCAUUAUCUUUUCAAAUUUUCUCAAUUUCGAGGAUUUGAGAUUUCCAUAUUUGAAAAUUUUCAGAUGGGUACACUGUGAAGUUGAGUUUCCUGGAAGUGUAAUCUGCUGGGUGGGAGAGAGGAAGUAUUGUUCAGGCGCGCUGUAGAUCCUCUGUUUCUGCUACUCUGUUCGUCUAUGAUAUUGUAAUUAAUUGGAAAAGCGCUUUUUUAGGAGAUUCUCGGCUCAAUUGUUUAUACCUGUUCUCAAAUUCCCACAAAAAUAAGCCUGUUUUGUCACAACGCUUAUAGAGAUUAGGGUAAUUUCUUUUCUGGGUAUUUAUAUUUUCAUCAUAUUAACUAGAAGGGAAGAAAAAGUUUGCUUUGUUAUUAAUUUGUUGGUCUCUGCUAGACAUAUUGUUGUUCAUUGUUCUUGCUAGGAGAGCAAAAUCAUUUUGAUUUCGAUUCUAAUUUCUAUUAUAUUAUAUACUUUCACUCUUUGCUGGUCAACGUUCGAAGUGAAAACAGACAAAAGCAAAGUAAAGAACAAUAAAAGGGGAAAACAAAUAAAAAACUUAGCACUCACAAAUAGCGAUUACGCAUUUUGGCCCUUUUGGCUUGAGUAGCAUACAAAGAAGCAGCGAGGCGUGCGCAACUAAUCUUAUACCUGACUUGUACAUUAUAGUAGUCUGCUUGGUGGGGGUGGUUGAGACUUGCCUAACUCGUUUGUUAACCUUAUAAAGCAAAACCUAUCGCUCUCUUCAUCAUUUUGUGCUAAAAGUUGUUAAAUUUGGGGGUGUCUUAGAGGCUUUUUAGCAGGUGGGUCAAAGAGAAUUGGGGUUAAACAAGAGCUUAUCUCUGAGAUUUGUGAGAGAGAUUAUUGGUUGAUUUUGUGUCGAAGGAAAAACAGAGAUGGGUUCCUAUGGAAAGCUUGCCACGAGGGCUUUGGAGACUGAGAUGCCGGUCAUGGUUCAGAUACAGGAAUUGAUCCGAGGAGCGAAAAAUGCCAUGUCUUUGGCCCAGGGGGUUGUUCAUUGGCAACCGCCCAAACAGGCAUUAGAAAAGGUGAAAGAACUUGUAUGGGACCCUUCAAUUAGUCGUUAUGGUGCUGAUGAGGGUAUCACUGAACUCAGGGAGGCAUUGACAGUGAAGCUGCGAAAGGAAAAUAAAUUGGUGAAAUCUUCAGUUAUGGUUACUGCUGGUGCAAAUCAGGCAUUUGUGAAUCUUGUUCUUGCAUUGUGUGAUGCUGGGGAUUCUGUAGUCAUGUUUGCUCCAUACUAUUUCAAUGCAUACAUGUCCUUCCAGAUGACAGGCGUCACUAAUAUUUUAGUGGGUCCUGGUAACCCAAAGACACUUCAUCCGGAUGCAGGUGAAGCUUGAUAAAGUGCUCAUUCCAUAGCAUUUGCACCUCUUUUUUAUGUAAUAUAGAGCAUUAUCUGCAAGGUGCACCUGGUUAUUUCAAGUCAGACAUUCUUUGGAUGGAGUCCAACGUAAAUUUCAUACUCUUCUUUUGUGAUUGUCUGAUUACCAAUAAAGUCCAAUUAUUUUAGGAGUUGGGCUUUGUGGACUUCUUUUAAUAGAUACUAACACUAUAUUUGGGAAGAGGUGAAAAUGGAGGGAAUAGGAAAAACUAGGGGAGAAUUUUAUGCCUUGGGCACUAAACCCCUUUUAACCUAUUUGGGUCAAAAUCAUUGCAUUUACUCAUUUGUCCUCAUGAUGAAUUCUUUCUUUGAAAAAAGUGAAGGACAUUAUAGUAAUUUCAAUCAAAACAGAAAAUUCUUCCCAUUUUUACCCACUCUUUUUACUUUUCUUGCCAAAGGCUGACUGAUAUCUGCUCUUGAAAUCUAUGGCGCCAGACAUCUGCUAACUAAUGGGCUUAUCUCUUGCAUUUUAAAUAUGGAAUUUUUUUAUCUGUAAUCAUGACGGUUAAAUCUACUCCCACAUUUGUGCAUGUUCCAUUAUCUUUUUUAUCUUUAUAAAAUCUUCUAGAGUCUUGCUACCACUCUGUGCUGACAAAUCAUAUGGUUUCAGAGUGACAUGUAAUCAAUGGCAUCAUGCCAUUGUGCAUUUAGGUCCCUUAAGGGACUGUUCAAUAGUCAAAACUUAGGAUUUCAACUUGGAGGUGUCAGCUUCAAUCCAUUGGAUGGGAAUAGGGUUUUAUGGGGAGGAGUUGGACUACACCUAUUGAGUAAGCCAACCACUGGAACAGGAAAAAAUACAUACAGUUUGUCAUGGCUUGAAAUUGAAUGAGGAAAAUUGGAGAUUGAUGUGCAUUUAACAUAACUACAUAAGUUGUUGUGUGAAAGUACAUUUUCUUUCUGCUUUAAUCUGUAUUUGGUUGGACUAUUAGCCAAUGUUGCUUUGAAUUUCAGACUGGUUGGAAAGGACGUUAUCAGAAACUAGACCAGUUCCAAAAGUUGUGACUGUUGUUAACCCUGGCAACCCAACAGGGACAUACAUUCCAGAGUCCCUCCUCAAGAGGAUUUCAGAUCUAUGUAGAGACGCUGGAUCCUGGCUUAUCGUAGAUAAUACAUAUGAGUAAGUCUUCUGUCUAUAUCAUAGAUGUGUUUGAUAUAAUAGUAUUUUCAUUUUUUUUUUUAAUUUGAAUGUAUCCUAAUGAAUUUCAGGGAAGAGGGGAGGUUCUUAUGAGCUACAAAUGUCUUUAAAACACAAUUGAUUGAUUCUGAUUGAGAAUUGAUUCAUAACGUCAUUGGCGCAUUAUUAGGAGAAAUUUAUUGAUAUACACAACUUGUUCAUCCAGGAAUUACUCAUGAUUCAUGUUUCAAACUUAUUAUACUGGUGCAUAAUCGGUGUUUUUUGAAUGACCUCAUUGAUUUUACCCAGCGAAUGUGAAGUUAAUGCUUGGUGAACAGUGCUUAUAAGCAUGCAUGCUUGUUCAUGAUCUUGUGUUUGGAGUGAUGGGUGAUCAAAACUAGAACAUUGUGUUCUCUGAAUAAACAGGGAUACAUAUAAAAGAAGAUAUGGUAUGAUUUUUCUGAAAGUGGUGAAUUUAUUAAAAAAAAAAAAAGAAUCACAAAAACAAUUUGAUCAUAGUGUCAUAGUCAUGGGCUCAUCACACAGAAAAAGGACCAUUAAAAGCAAGUGCCAAAUUGGUGACUUUGUCAUUGAAGUCUGGUUGCUGGGGUGCAACAUCGUGCUAUCUGUUAGAGGUUCUUGCUGAUAUGACAUUCCAUUUAACUUGAGGAUCAACAAUAUAUGUUAAUUGCUGUCAAUUUAUGGAUCUUAACAACUUUCUUUGUAGGUAUUUUAUGUAUGAUGGUCUAAAACAUUCCUGCAUAGAAGGUGAUCAUGUUGUCAACAUCUUUUCCUUCUCAAAAGCCUAUGGGAUGAUGGGAUGGCGAGUUGGAUAUAUAGCAUAUCCGUUAGAAGUGGAGGGCUUUGCAACUCAACUCCUCAAGAUUCAGGACAACAUACCAAUCUGUGCCUCAUUACUUUCACAGCAUCUGGCCCUCUACUCCUUAGAAAUGGGACCUGAGUGGGUGACUGAGCAAGUGAAAAAUCUUGUGAGGAACAGAGAAAUCCUUCUUGUAGCUCUCUCCCCAUUAGGAGAAGAUGCUGUAAAAGGUGGUGAAGGUGCAAUUUACCUUUGGGCAAAGCUUCCUGACAAACAUCUUGAUGAUUUUAAAGUUGUUCGCUGGCUUGCUAAAAGGCAUGGGGUGGUUGUGAUUCCGGGAGGUGCUUGUGGAUGCCCAGGGCAUCUUAGGAUCUCCUUCGGGGGCUUGAUAGAGGCGGAUUGCAAAGCUGCUGCGGAGAGGCUGAGGAGAGGGUUAGAAGAAUUAGUGAACCAUGGAAUGAUGGAGUAAACUGUUUUACAGCCCAUUGCAUAUCGGAAUGGGAAAUCCAUUAGCCUGUUUGUUUAAGUUAACAACCCGUGCAUUCGAAUAAUAUGGAGGGUACGAAUGUCUGGAAGUAGAACAAUAGUUUAGUAAAUGAAAGGAUAUUCACCCGGCAGUUGGUCUGAACUCUGAAGUAGUAAUAAUAUUUCAGCAAAUUUACAUUGUUAAGCUACUUCCUGGAGAUGCUUUGCUGAUAUAUUUAUGUUCAAUACAUGCAUAAUACUUGUAUAUAUGAUAAUAAUUAAAAAAAAUAAGUGACCCAUUCACAAAGCAUCUCACCUCACAAUUGUGGCUUCUGGGGAGGGUUGAUGGACGCAGUCUUAUAUCUGUUUUGUAAAGAAGCUGUUUCUGUGACUCGCAUAUGUG
rnacentral:misc_RNA from 1 species